CCUACGGGAGGCAGCAGUGAGGAAUAUUGGUCAAUGGACGCAAGUCUGAACCAGCCAAGUAGCGUGCAGGAUGACGGCCCUAUGGGUUGUAAACUGCUUUUAUACGGGGAUAAACUGCCUCACGUGUGGCCUAUUGCAGGUACCGUAUGAAUAAGGACCGGCUAAUUCCGUGCCAGCAGCCGCGGUAAUACGGAAGGUCCGGGCGUUAUCCGGAUUUAUUGGGUUUAAAGGGGGCGUAGGCGGAAUGGAAAGGGGGCGGUAAAAUCUUGGGGCUCAACCCCGUUCUGCCGUGGAAACUGGCGGUCUUGAGUGGGCGAGAAGUAGGCGGAAUGCGUGGUGUAGCGGUGAAAUGCAUAGAUAUGACGAAGAACGCCGAUUGCGAAGGCAGCUUGCCGGAGCGCAACUGACGCUGAGGCACGAAAGCGUGGGUAUCGAACAGGAUUAGAUACCCGGGUAGUC
rnacentral:rRNA from 1 species